rnacentral:rRNA from 1 species
AAAAAGAACCUGAAACCGUGUACGUACAAGCAGUGGGAGCACAGAGCAAUCUGUGUGACUGCGUACCUUUUGUAUAAUGGGUCAGCGACUUAUAUUCUGUAGCAAGGUUAACCGAAUAGGGGAGCCGAAGGGAAACCGAGUCUUAACUGGGCGUUAAGUUGCAGGGUAUAGACCCGAAACCCGGUGAUCUAGCCAUGGGCAGGUUGAAGGUUGGGUAACACUAACUGGAGGACCGAACCGACUAAUGUUGAAAAAUUAGCGGAUGACUUGUGGCUGGGGGUGAAAGGCCAAUCAAACCGGGAGAUAGCUGGUUCUCCCCGAAAGCUAUUUAGGUAGCGCCUCGUGAAUUCAUCUCCGGGGGUAGAGCACUGUUUCGGCAAGGGGGUCAUCCCGACUUACCAACCCGAUGCAAACUGCGAAUACCGGAGAAUGUUAUCACGGGAGACACACGGCGGGUGCUAACGUCCGUCGUGAAGAGGGAAACAACCCAGACCGCCAGCUAAGGUCCCAAAGUCAUGGUUAAGUGGGAAACGAUGUGGGAAGGCCCAGACAGCCAGGAUGUUGGCUUAGAAGCAGCCAUCAUUUAAAGAAAGCGUAAUAGCUCACUGGUCGAGUCGGCCUGCGCGGAAGAUGUAACGGGGCUAAACCAUGCACCGAAGCUGCGGCAGCGACACUGUGUGUUGUUGGGUAGGGGAGCGU